GGGAAUGUGGCUUAGUGGUAGAGUGCUUGUCUAGAGUACAUGAAAUCCUGGGUUCAAUUCCUCAGUACCA
rnacentral:tRNA from 1 species